GGAAGGGCUGUAGCUCAGCUGGUAGAGCACCUGCUUUGUACGAAGAAGGUCCCAGGUUCAAGUCCCAUCAUUUCCA